AAUAUUGCACAAUGGGCGAAAGCCUGAUGCAGCAGCGCCGCGUGAGGGAUGACGGCCUUCGGGUUGUAAACCUCUUUCAGCAGGGACGAAGCGAGAGUGACGGUACCUGCAGAAGAAGCACCGGCC
rnacentral:rRNA from 1 species